GGGUAAAAGCAUCAGAAAUCAGCAUCUGGCCAUCGGUUUUGGAGGCUCAGAAACUAGGGUUGGUAAGAUGAUUCUGGGGAUCGGUUCCUGGUAUCCCAGCUUACGAAGGACCGACUUCUAAACCAUAUGCUACUCUCGCGUUGGGCGUUAGAAAGACUCUACGGAUCAGACCAGGGUGGCUGCGCUCUCCCCAGGUAGACGGAUCCUCAUGGGGGGCUCAGAUGGGACCAGAAGAGAAGUUGGCGUCUACAGAAGCUGAGCAGGACUGAGUGGCGUAAUUCGGAUACAACUGGACAGUUCUAUUCCUUCUGUGGGGUCGUGUUACCAGCAAGCAAAGGUAGACUCUCGGGCUAGUUAGCCCUGGAUUUGCCGGUGAAUGACAGAAAACCCAACAGAACAGUGUCUCACACAAGAGAAUAGUUUCCUUUCCUUUUUCCCUAAAAUUCAGGGCCAGGGUUACUUCUUCAGUCAACACCCCAAGCUCCUUUUUUUUUUUUUUUUUUUGCUAUACGUGUGAUAUGUGGCGUCCAGUCCCAAGGUCACCUCGUGGUCCAAGAUGGCGGCUCAGUGCUUGUCUUCAUGCUUCUGUUCUAACUCAAAGGGAGACUGAAAGAAAGUCUCUCCAGACUGUCACUACUCUGGAAGAACCAGGUCACUGUCCUGGUUUGCCUCCACUUAACCAUUUACGGGCAAAGAAAGCCAGGCGCCCUGCCUCCAGCUUUCCAACUCUACCGGUAUUCCAAGAUGGCGGACGUUGGUGACUCUGUUAAUCCGGAGGGCGUUACAUCAGCCGGAUCGCAUCCUAACAGCUCCUGUGAGGUGACAUGAGGCAACGCCUAGUGUAAGGUGUCUUCCUUCGGUAGAAGUCAGAAACCGUGUUCGCCCUGAGGCCCCCUGUGCUCCCACCGUCAUCCCUUUGCACAGCUUGCUUCCUCUGCUGGUCGAGGUUGCCUCCCACUUCGGGACAUUAUCUUAGAGAGUAGUUUUUCGAUUCUUUUUGCUCCGUAACUAAAUUGAAACUAUGCUACCUGAAAACAGUUGAGUGCUGUCUUUACCCCAAUGCCAGGCAUUGUCAUAGUCUAUAAGGUUGGGUUUUGAGGGGCCACUUCCCUUUGAAAAUCUGCAUUUCCCUCCAGCUCAUCUUUACGGAUAAGUCUCGUUUUCUCAGGAAAGCUUCUCUCUGUCUCGUUCACACAGGUAUUUUAAUGAUAACAUGGACACCUCCCUCUGUUGCCCACAUCAUCCACCAGUUUAUUCUAUCCUAGAAGCACAGUAAUUUCUUCUGAGGAAACUACAGGAACCCACCCUACCCACUCAGAGGGCGCCAUCUUGAAACUUUCAUGAAUGUCGCCUUCUCUUAACUAGCUCCCCGUCUUUCAAAAUCUCUCUUGCACUUUUGUUUCUCUGUUGUCCCCCUCCUGCUGUGAGCAAUUCUCUCCCAAAGCUCAGUGGCAGCAAUGGUCUCCUAACCCAUCUCCCAGCUUCCCAUCUCUCCGCACUGGAAUCCAGGUGAUGCCGAAGAGCCAUCUUCCACUCCCCACACCUCCGCCACUCUCUCAUUGCCUACAAGAGAAAGUCAUCGGCCACCUGUGCAAGGCCUUCUAUCCUCAGGUUUCCCCAGAUCGCUGAGUUGAACCCUACAUCAUAGUCCACCCUGCCCUUUGGGGUCCAUUAGUCUUUUAAAGGAAGAGGUUGCUGCCUCUGAGUUAUCGAGCCCAAGCACAUCUUUCUUUCCUGCGUCUCCAAGUUCUUUCUUCCUGGAGCCUCAACCCUGACUGGGAGCCUGGAUUUCUUUUGACUGGGCUAUAUAACUUUAUGCCUUGGUGUACCCAAAGCUGGGGAAGUUCCUGACGCAUCAUGCAUGCAUAUUAAAGGAAUGGAUGGCUGGCUGGAUGGUAAAUGGAUGGUGGCAUGGUGGGAUGGAGAGGUGGAUGGAUUGGGGGAUGGAUAGAUGGAUGGAUGGUAAAUAGAUGGUUGGAUGGAUGGGUGGGUGGGUAGAUGAAUGGAUGGAUGGAUGGUAAAUGGAUGGUGGGAUGGAUGGAUGGGAACAUGGAUGGAUGGCUCCUCCCAAUGGCAGAAGUCUCUGUGCUUUGGUUUCCGAAGUUUUCCUGCCUGCCUUUCCCUUCCCAGCCUCCAUUCACCUGCACAGACACCUGCCCGCGUCACCUUGGCAACCUGGUGGCAUUCAUCUGCUUGGACAAUCAUUUGAACCUGUGGAGUCACAGGCUGGCCCGGUUGAGUCACAGCUAUCAGCGGGGCUGUCCUCCCAGAUUCGUGAAGGUUAAGGUCUCAAGCUUUAACUUUGCCAAGAACACACUGCCGGUCCUCAUUAUUGGGGCCAAAAGGCAACCAUCGGCCACAGCAGCUCAGAACUAAUUAACUAACUUGGCGUCUUUUGCUUUUCUGUUGCUCUUCCCUGGGAUCCAGGUGUGGCAUCGUCUGUGGCCCUGAGAAGACUUGGGUCUUUGCUCCAGUCAGACGCAACCGUGUCUGAUCUAAAUAAAUACAAAUUUUUAAUUCCCUUCUUCAGCGCUUUUUCCUGGUGUAUUUUCCUGGCACAGCUUUGUUGGGUCCCUUCUCUGACUUCCAUCCAAGUUCAGUCUCACAGAUGCACAGCGCACAUCUACAGCCACUAUUUCAAAAUUAGUUGAUGGGGGGCCAAGUGGGCGUUUUGAGUUUCCAGAUGGCUCCUCUUUACUCCUGAUGUUUUUGCAAGAAGGGCGAAGUAACAGAAAUGAACAUUUCUAUGGCUACAAGUUCCUCCAGAGAAAAUCCAAUACUUGUUGAAGUGGAUUUAAAGGAGAGAAAGAGCGACAUUCCGUUCCGUUUUCAUUAAUUUAUUCCCAAGGAACCGCCAAGUGACAGCACAACAAAUGAGGGUACAGGAACUGACAGUGCAUUGAAAAUCACUUAGGAUGCUCAAACCAGACCAAUUUGUUAUAAGGCCACUUAGAUGCUGUCUCACAAGGAGGAACGAUCAUCUGUUUUAGUUGUCUCUAGGCCACCGAGGAUGCUCCGCAGCCCAAAGGAAAACAUCAGUCAGACCACUGUCUUUCUGGGAUAAAGAAGAAAGGGGGAAGGUCCUUCCGGGCCAGAUUGUCCUCUCCGAUGGGUAAGCGGCAGCUGGUGAUGGAGGUGAUGACAAUAGUGAUACUGAUGACAGUGAUGCUGAUGAUGGUGCUGGUGAUAGUUUGAUGCUGAUGAUGAUGCUGCUGAUGCUGAUGAUGGUGCUGAUGAUAGUUUGAUGCUGAUGAUGGUGAUGCUGAUGCUGGUGAAGGUGACGGUGAUAGUUUGAUGAUGAUGAUGCUGAUGCUGACGCUGAUGAUGGUGAUGCUAAUGCUGAUGAAGGUGAUGGUGAUGAUGCUGCUGCUGCUGCUGCUGAUGAUGAUGAUGAUGAUGGUGAUGGUGAUAGUUUGAUGAUGCUGGUGGUGAUGGUGAUGAUGGUGAUAAUAAUGGUGAUGAUGAUGAUGAUAGUGAUGGGGAUGAGGAUGUUGGUGAUAAUGAUGAUGAUGAUAGUAUGAUGGUGAUGAUAAUGGUGAUGGUGAUGAUGAUGGUGAAUGAUGAUGGGGAUGAUGAUGAUGAUCAUGAUGGUGGUGAUGAUGAUGGUGGUGGUGGUGAUGGUGAUGAUCGUGAUAGUGAUGAUGAUGAUGGUGAUAAUGGCGAUGACGAUGAUGAUAGUGAUGGGAUGGGGAUGUUGGUGAUAAUGAUGAUGAUGAUAGUAUGAUGGUGAUGAUAAUUGUGAAGGUGAUGAUGAUGGUGAAUGAUGAUGGGGAUGAUGAUGGUGAUCGUGAUGGUGAUGAUGAUGAUGGUGAUGAUGAUGAUGGUGAUAAUGGUGAUGAUGAUGAUGAUAGUGAUGGGGCUGAGGAUGUUGGUGACAAUGAUGAUAUGAUAGUAUGAUGGGGAUGAUAUUGGUGAUGGUGAUGAUGACAAUAAUGCUUUCUGCUAAGCCAAGAGGUUCAUAUCACUCGGGAAAUAAGAUCAUACACACUGCAUUUGGGGGUUAUCUUGCAAAACCUUUCUUUUCGAUCUUAUUAAACAUGGCGUGAGGGACAUAUCAGAAUCCGUUUUAGUCAUCAUGUGAAAUGACCAAUGCUUCCCCCAUUGUCUCCGCUCAGGACUUUGUAAUGAAUGAAAUUGUGUCUCGAGUGCUGACAUGUUUUUGAGCGCCGCUGGGUAACCAUUGAGGAACCGUAGACCAAUAACUGAGCAAAAUUAUUGAGCGUGUGUGUGUUUGUGUCUGUGCCGGGGUGGGUGAGAGAGAGCAUCAAACUAGGAGAGAACCAACCAAGAUUGCUUAGUUUGAAAACAUGGAGUCUAUGGGUAUGGUGCACACUGUCAGGCAUUUGUGGUCUAACCAGUAGGUUCUUGUACACUGAACCUACUAGUCUACAGAUAAGUUCUACUAGUCAGGGCUCCUGGAUGUAUUUGAAGAGACGCCCUUAGGGGCAAACCCUGCCUUGGCGUGAGUCUGAGGCUGAGCUCCUCUAAUGAUGCAUCCUGGGUGCAUUGCUUGCCUCAUUCUUGUCCAGUCCUGCUGCUGACCCACCAGAGAUGAGAAAUAUGGCAGGAAAUCCAACCUGCGUGUCUCUUGUGACCCUGAAACCCCGCUACCUUGAAUGACAGCACUAUUCCCAUAGGAAUCUUAUUUUUGCCUGCAGAUUAUAGGCUCCUUCAGUAAAGGGACCAGGAAUUGCUUCUCUCUCCAUUCGGCUCAGUCCAUACCUUCUCGUCUGACACGGCGUCAAUGUCCAAUAAAUAUUGAUUGAUGUAAUAAAGUGGCAGUGGCUUUACUACUCUUUUCCAAAGAAGUGACAGGAAAUCGAAAUCAGGAUUCACCCAAUUUUACACAUUUUCCCGUCAGUUCAUAAUCUCUUUCCAAACAUUUAAUCAAAAAGACAGCAAUCGGAAUGAAAUAGGAAUCUAUAAUUUGACGUGAAAAUCACCCCCGGAACAGAAAUGUCUUCCCACGUGGGGAGAUCGUGCUGCUAAGAAAUGAUUCAUUCAACAGAGGUGUGGAAUGUCCUUUAAAACUAAGUUUUCAAAGAAGGAAGUUGAACAUUUUUCCUCUUCCCAGACAAAAUUGUCCUGGGUGCUUAAAAAUGAUUCAAGGAACGUGCAAAAUGGCUCUCAUCAAUUUCCCUUCGUAGGUGUUGAGGCUCAGGGCUGGGUUCUGCGUGUCUGAGCACUCUCCGUUGUGACAUUUUGGGGGGUUCUUGUAUUCCGUGUACCUAUAGGUAUGUGGGUUGUGUAGGGCUGACAUUGCCAAGUGAGGUUAGACCUUCAAGUAAUGUCUCUCAAGUUAAAAGUAAUAGCCUUGUAGAAAAGUAAUAAUAAUCAAGCAUUAAGCGCGCCAUAUAUGAGAACAGAUCCAUGACGUUCAUCCCUCGGCGCUCUUAAUCCUUUAAAUCAACAAACCAGCGAGUGAGCCAACGGGGGGCGUCUUCAAAAUGGAAUAUUUCCUCCAAACCUUCUACCAAAAUGGAGCCAUGUGGUAAGAAAGGAUCACCAUUUUCUGCCCCCUGAGAUGGGAGACGUCAGUUUAUCAACGCUCAACACCUUGAUCGCGUUAAAUAGGACAUUACUUGAAUAAAAUUUGUAUGUCUUAAAAUUCACUUUUAGGUCUUUUUUUUUCCAUGGGAGGUUUUCUUUGGUAAACCCUAAUUUCAGGUGUGGGCUCCUCCGCUCAUCGCUCGACCCUAUAACUCCACAAGACAUGAGUAGUAUUGUUUAAUACACUCAAUGUUUGUAUAGAUUGACCCACAUGUUGGCCGUUUUCUGAUUUCUCCCUUUCUUCUUGUAUUCUCACACUUUCCCACUGGGCUUAGUUUUGGGUUUUCUUGAUGCACCGUCUUUAAAUUUUUCUUCAGGGACGGCCCGCUCAUGAAAAGGCGCUUACGUUAUUGUUUUUCAACUGUUUUCCUUGGAGCCCCAUUUUUGAAAGGUAUUUUCUCUGGGAUCUGUUUCCUUUCAACACUUCAAUUCCUGUGUUCUUCUCUCUUUCUUAUCCUUCUGGCUUCCAAUGGGAUUGGAUACAUGUGUGUUGUAAGUCUCCCCUUCAAGCCUUUGGAAACGUUAUUUUUUAUUUUCUAGCUUCUUUCAGGAUUGUCUCUGGUGUUCUGAAAUUUCAUAGGAUGUAUGUGUGUGCAUAUAUUUAUUUUUAUUCUACUUGGGAUUAAUUUUAUUUCCUGUGCUUGUGAUGCGUGUUUGUCCAUAUAUUUAUUUCUCUUUUUCUUGGGGUUAAUUUUAUUUCCUGUGCUUGUGGGUUGCUGUCUCUUUCUCGAUUCUCGUUGAUCCUCAACCAUCCUCUCUUCACGUCUUCUUGUUGGCUCGCUCUCCUACAUUUCUGGAACUCGUAGCAUUCGUGAGCUCUUUUUCUUGUAUUUUCAGUGCCUCUGAGCAUCUUUCACAUUUUUCAUUUCUACGUCUCUCUGUACUUCUGGAGAAUGUACUCUCCCAGUUCACUAAUUCUCUCUUCACUCCUGUCUUGUCUGUUUUUAACCCCACCCGCUGAGGUUGAUAAAAAUGAUAAAAUGAUGCUGUUUAUUCUGCUGGAUUGGGACCCUUGCUAUGCCAGUGGUUAUAUUUCAGAUUUCAUCACUGUGCCUGGAGACACUAUCAAGUCAGGACCGUUUUGACCAAAUUCAUAGUUUGGAUUUUUUUUUUUUUUUUUUUGCAGGAGGGAGGGGAGAGUAUCUGCAAGAGGGCAGAUUAAUGGUUAGAAAUUCUCAAAAGCUUCCCUUUGUCUUGUUACCUUAGUGCCAAGGCGUCUCUUCCUUCAGAAUCCCGCAGGUGGAAGCUGUGUAUUUGCAUCCCGUCCACUCUUGUCCUGAGAAUGGAGACAGCGGUUCUCAAACCCGUCAGCUGAAGAACCUCUUUGUGCUCUAAAUAAUAUCGAUUAAGGAUCCCAAGUACUCAUCAUGUGGUUUAUAUCCAUUGAUAUUUACUGUAUUAGCAAUUAAAACCCAGAAGAUUUUUACACAUCUAUUGAUGGACCCAUUUAAAAGCAGUGAUGGUAAAUCCAUUACGUGCUAACACAAAUGAUAUAUUCUUAUUAUAGGAUGCAUGUAUUCUAUUCUUAUUGUAUAAUAGGAUAUAUAUGUCCUAUGUAUUGUAUUCUCACUCAUGUGAGAAUAUUACUGAUAAGAAUAGCAUUGCUGUGCAUUUUUGCAAAUCUCUUUAAUGUCCGGCGUUAAAGAGAGGGCAGCUGGAUUCCUGUGUCUGCUUCUGCAUUCAACCUGCUCUGUCAUCACCCAUCGCAAAGCUUCUGGAAAAUUCCGCUGGGCACUUGCGAGACAGUGAGACUGAAAAAGACAGAUAACAUCUCGCCUCCCCGGACACUGUGGCCACCGGAUGAUUUCCUGCUCUCCCGUCCGUGUUGUGAUGCUUUAAUAAGAUGCUUUACAAAUGUAUUCAUCCAGCAUUUUCAAUUGGUUUCAGCAGGAGCGUUGGGUCAAAUGACCUAAUCUUCCACGUUGCCAGAAAUAGAACUCAUAUUAAAAGACUUCAGCAUGACGGAUUAAGAAGACAAGAAGAGAAGAAGGAUUUAAAUUAUAUAACGCAAGGAAAAUCUCCUGGGUGCAUAGGCAAAUCCGUAUCCAUAAAAAAUAAAUUAUGUUUUCAAACCACAUAUUAGCCGAAAAGGAAAACAAUAAUUCCAAACAGUGGAAACAUAACCAACCAUAUUUUUGGCCAUAAUGUCGUAACGUUAGAGUUUAAUCGUAAAAUAUCAACAAACGAAAACUGCCAUCCAACUGGAAUUUUAAAACCCUCUUUCAAAGGUCCUUGGGUCGGAAAAAAGGAGGUUAAAACGAGGUGAUCACCAUUUCAGAACUUUGCGGGAUGUGGCUCAUGUUACUUUGGGGAGGAAAAUCGACAUUUUCGGAAUGACUUUCGUUUUUAAAUAAGGAAUGAAGCGUUGGAUUCAGAAGUUUAUGAAGAAAAACGUAAAUCUCGGGAAAGGAGGAGAGUGAAAUCCCUAAUUUAAUAAAGGAGGAAUUUCGUAAGUGAGGACAUAGGUAAAGAGCAGAACUGGGAAAUAUUUUACUGAUCGUACGAAGCCCAAACUUGUUCCCAGAGAAGACAGGGCCCUAGGAUCGACCACUCGAAAGCAAAAUGAAGAGAAGAAUAAAGGACACCCACCCAAAAUGGACUUGAGAAGCGUACGCUCAUCACAAAAUCCGUGUGAUUUUUGCCAUGGUUCAUGCAAAUAUGUUUGCAAAGCAGGAUAAGAGGGACGAUUGGAGGAAAAAUGUGCAUUAUCGAAAUUUAGAAAAACAAAGCAAAUAUCAGUAAAUCCGUUUCAAUGAGGAAAUUGAGACAGAGCUAAGCCGGCAUCAAAAUGUUCGAGCUCAUCGAAUUGUUAAGUGAGUUCUCUGAAUCCUUCAAGGAAUUCUCGGGGUAUUGAUAUGAUUCAGAGCCUGAGAUGAGACGGAACGCUUCCAAGUAAUGUGUGAGGACUUCAUCAGAAUCAUGCCAAAGUUUGAUUUUGAAAGCACAGAAAGAGAGACUGCAGACUUAGGUGAACGGAUUGCAAAUAACAUGAAAAUUCAUUAGGCAAAUAGCGUCGCCCACCUCAUCAAGAGAAUGAUACACACGAAAAAGUGAAGAUGGACAGACCGCUGAGACUUAUAUAAUGUUAUAAACCAAUGUCACCUCAAUAAAAUGUCUAUAUUUACUUUAUUUCUUUUUAAUAUAUAUCAAUUGUAUAUUAUAUAAAAA
ensembl:lncRNA